UGCAGGGUUACGGGUGAUGGGAGUUGGCACCCAGGCCAGUUUAAUGGGCUGAAUUGGUCUGGGUGCCUACAGUGUCCCUUUCAUAGAAUAGGAAGGUUUAUUUUUCACAUAUAGGGCUAGGAGGGCUCUAUAGCAAGUUGCUAGAGUCUUGUGUGGUGUAGGGGUGCCCAAGCAGGUUUGCUGAAAUGGAGAGAAGUUUAUCAGGCAAGGUGUAUGGAGUGUUCCUUUAAGUUCCAUUAGUAUUCUCCUUAACAUUGGAAAUAUUUUUGUAAGGUUUGUUUUUGCCAGCUUUAUAUCUGGG